rnacentral:rRNA from 1 species
UACGUAGGGCGCAAGCGUUUGUCCGGAAUUAUUGGGCGUAAAGAGCUCGUAGGCGGUCUGUCGCGUCUGCUGUGAAAACUCAGGGCUUAACCCUGAGCUUGCAGUGGGUACGGGCAGACUAGAGUGCGGUAGGGGAGACUGGAAUUCCUGGUGUAGCGGUGAAAUGCGCAGAUAUCAGGAGGAACACCGGUGGCGAAGGCGGGUCUCUGGGCCGUAACUGACGCU